ACACAUGCAGUCGAACGGAAAGGCCCGCUUGCGGUACUCGAGUGGCGAACGGGUGAGUAACACGUGGGUGAUCUGCCCUGGACUCUGGGAUAAGCCUGGGAAACUGGGUCUAAUACCGGAUAUGACCUUACAUCGCAUGGUGUUGGGUGGAAAGCUUUUGCGGUUCAGGAUGGGCCCGCGGCCUAUCAGCUUGUUGGUGGGGUAAUGGCCUACCAAGGCGACGACGGGUAGCCGACCUGAGAGGGUGAUCGGCCACACUGGGACUGAGACACGGCCCAGACUCCUACGGGAGGCAGCAGUGGGGAAUAUUGCACAAUGGGCGCAAGCCUGAUGCAGCGACGCCGCGUGAGGGAUGACGGCCUUCGGGUUGUAAACCUCUUUCACCAGGGACGAAGCGCAAGUGACGGUACCUGGAGAAGAAGCACCGGCCAACUACGUGCCAGCAGCCGCGGUAAUACGUAGGGUGCGAGCGUUGUCCGGAAUUACUGGGCGUAAAGAGCUCGUAGGCGGUUUGUCGCGUCGUCUGUGAAAUUCUGCAACUCAAUUGUAGGCGUGCAGGCGAUACGGGCAGACUUGAGUACUACAGGGGAGACUGGAAUUCCUGGUGUAGCGGUGAAAUGCGCAGAUAUCAGGAGGAACACCGGUGGCGAAGGCGGGUCUCUGGGUAGUAACUGACGCUGAGGAGCGAAAGCGUGGGUAGCGAACAGGAUUAGAUACCCUGGUAGUCCACGCCGUAAACGGUGGGUACUAGGUGUGGGGCUCAUUUCACGAGUUCCGUGCCGUAGCUAACGCAUUAA
rnacentral:rRNA from 1 species